GCAUUGGUGGUUCAGUGGUAGAAUUCUUGCUCUCCAUGCGGGAGACCCAGGUUUGAUUCCUGGCUAAGGUA
rnacentral:tRNA from 1 species